GACAAGGAAGAGGAGGAUGGGGAGGAAGAAGAGAGGGAAGAUAAGAAGAUGAAGGUGGAGAGGAUCAUUGUUGUGGAGGAGAAUGAUUUGUGAACGACUUAGAGAAGGAGGAGGAUCAGAAAAAGAAGUGGAUGAGGAGAAAAGAGAGGAGAUGAAAGAAUGGGUGAAGAUAGAUGGAGCUACUAUGGAGGAGGAGAAAUGGGUC
rnacentral:lncRNA from 1 species